rnacentral:rRNA from 1 species
UGGGGAAUAUUGGGCAAUGGAGGAAACUCUGACCCAGCGACGCCGCGUGCGGGAUGAAGGCCUUCGGGUUGUAAACCGCUUUCAGCAGGGAAGAAGCGAAAGUGACGGUACCUGCAGAAGAAGCCCCGGCUAACUCCGUGCCAGCAGCCGCGGCAAUACGGAGGGGGCUAGCGUUAUUCGGAAUUACUGGGCGUAAAGCGCACGUGGGCGGAUUGGAAAGUUGGAGGUGAAAUCCCAGGGCUCAACCUC